ACAGGGUUAUUUAUUACUUGGAUUUUCUAGGAAUAAAAUUUGCCCAGCAUAUACAUAAACACAUGUACUAAACAACAAUUUUUUUUCUGAAGGAUGUCAGCUCCACGAUUGGAAAAAAGAAGAGGAAGGCCAAGGCAUCAGCCGGCCAGAGAUAUCAUGGAGACAGCAGCCUCGGAUGUAGAAAUAAUUAAAGAUUACUGGGUUAUUUAUUACUUGGAUUUUCUUGGACAAAAAAUUUCUCACCAUACAAUUUGUACAUAAACACAUCUACAACAAUGAUUAUCUCUUCUGAAGGACUCCACGACUCAAAAUAAGAAGAGAAAGGCCAAGUCAUCAGCUGCUACACCAACCAAGAAGCAGAUCAACGAGUAACUCUUCCCACACAAAUAAAGUUGUUAGCACUCCGAGCACACUGGAGAUCUGUCUACAAGAACAGAUCAAUUCAGCUUGAGAACCCAAAGCAAAAAAGUAGUACUGCGAACUUGACUACCGUCCUAGCCAGCAAGUGCUCUCGACGUACUGCAAGUUAAAUAGUUGUUAAUUAACUAUGUAUAAUUCUCUCAGAUGCACUCCUCCUGUAAUAAUCUGCUUUCUAGAGUUGACCACUCUGAAUGUUAUGUAUAUUAUUGACCUAAUUACUGUUCCAAGCUUUCA